UACGGGGGGGGCAAGCGUUGUUCGGAAUUACUGGGCGUAAAGGGCUCGUAGGCGGCCAACUAAGUCAGACGUGAAAUCCCUCGGCUUAACCGGGGAACUGCGUCUGAUACUGGAUGGCUUGAGGCUGGGAGAGGGAUGCGGAAUUCCAGGUGUAGCGGUGAAAUGCGUAGAUAUCUGGAGGAACACCGGUGGCGAAGGCAGGUCUCUGGGCAUUAACUGACGCUGAGGAGCGAAAGCAUGGGGAGCGAACAGG
rnacentral:rRNA from 1 species